ensembl:snRNA U6 U6 spliceosomal RNA
GCGCUCACUUCGGCAGCACAUAUACUAAAAUUGGGACAAUACAGAGAAGAUUAGCAUGACCCCUGUGCAAUGAUGCCAUGCAAAUUCGUGAAGCAUUCCGUAUUUAA